UGGAGGCGAACCGGAUGUGACGUGAGCCAGUGGCGUACUCCCUGCCCCCAGAUAGGUACUUGUACGCCUAGGGAAAGACGCUGCUAGGUGCUGCUGCUAAAUCCCUGUGGUUUCUGCCGGCCACUUGCGGCCACUGCCGGCUCACGUAGGUUCGUACGCGUGGUACGCCUCGCUGGAUCGUGUUCAGUCAUGCCGUCUUUGCGCGGCGUCAUUGUCGGUGAGUCAGGUUAAAUUCUUAAAUAGGUCGCGCCUGCGCCUAAUUGAGUCUAUGAAAGCCUGCACAUUCAGUUUUGCUGGCUACAAUGCAGUGCGGCUGGCGUAAGCUGUCUCCACGAUGCGCUUCGAGCGUCUCGAUUUCGCCGUUCCUUAUGUUGGCGGAAACGACCUUGAAAGCAACAUGGAUCCACAAGAAAUAUGCGACAACAUCAAGGCCUUGAUUGUUCAACGAGAAGGCCCCCGUCGUGCUGGUUUUCAAGGUGCUCCCUCGCUGCCUAGAAGAUGCUGAUGCGGAACAGAAAAUGCAAAAACGUCGCUUGCUCAACCGCAAAUUGACGGCUACGCUGAAGCGCAUGCCGUGUCUGCGGAAUUUGAACCCCGAGCUUUCCAGAGUUCGUUGGAAAAUCCUCCCAUGCACCUGCCAUGUACAUUGCCCCUCCUCCUCGAUGUGGCGUGCAAGAUGGCAGCAGCAGCUGUGGGAACAGUUGAAGAGGCGAAGAAAGGUCCACUUUGUAAUAGGUUGUAUGUAAAUAAAACUGAUCGAACUCAA
rnacentral:lncRNA from 1 species